AACAAACGCUGGCGGCGUGCCUAAUACAUGCAAGUCGAACGAGGAAAGCUUUCGGGUGAGUACUAGUGGCGCACGGGUGAGGAACACGUGGGUAAUCUGCCUUCAAGUGGGGAACAACCAGUCGAAAGAUUGGCUAAUACCGCAUAAGACCACAAGAUCUGCGGAUCAAGGGGUUAAAGGAGCAAUUCGCUUGAAGAUGAGCCCGCGUGAGAUUAGCUAGUUGGUAGGGUAACGGCCUACCAAGGCUACGAUCUCUAGCUGGUCUGAGAGGAUGAUCAGCCACACUGGAACUGAGACACGGUCCAGACUCCUACGGGAGGCAGCAGUAGGGAAUAUUGCGCAAUGGGGGAAACCCUGACGCAGCGACGCCGCGUGAGCGAUGAAGGAUUUCGGUUCGUAAAGCUCUGUCGCAGGGGGAAUAAUUUUGAAUGUACCCUGUAAGAAAGGAUCGGCUAACUUCGUGCCAGCAGCCGCGGUAAU
rnacentral:rRNA from 1 species